GCAUGCUGGAGGUAUCAGAAGUGCGAAUGCUGACAUAAGUAACGAUAAAGCGGGUGAAAAGCCCGCUCGCCGGAAGACCAAGGGUUCCUGUCCAACGUUAAUCGGGGCAGGGUGAGUCGACCCCUAAGGCGAGGCCGAAAGGCGUAGUCGAUGGGAAACGGGUUAAUAUUCCCGUACUUGGUGUUACUGCGAAGGGGGGACGGAGAAGGCUAUGUUGGCCGGGCGACGGUUGUCCCGGUUUAAGCGUGUAGGUGUGUGUUCCAGGUAAAUCCGGUUCACUUUAACACUGAGGCGUGACGACGAGGCACUACGGUGCUGAAGCAACAAAUGCCCUGCUUCCAGGAAAAGCCUCUAAGCAUCAGGUAACACGAAAUCGUACCCCAAACCGACACAGGUGGUCAGGUAGAGAAUACCAAGGCGCUUGAGAGAACUCGGGUGAAGGAACUAGGCAAAAUGGUGCCGUAACUUCGGGAGAAGGCACGCUGACACGUAGGUGAAGUGAUUUACUCAUGGAGCUGAAGUCAGUCGAAGAUACCAGCUGGCUGCAACUGUUUAUUAAAAACACAGCACUGUGCAAACACGAAAGUGGACGUAUACGGUGUGACGCCUGCCCGGUGCCGGAAGGUUAAUUGAUGGGGUCAGCGUAAGCGAAGCUCCUGAUCGAAGCCCCGGUAAACGGCGGCCGUAACUAUAACGGUCCUAAGGUAGCGAAAUUCCUUGUCGGGUAAGUUCCGACCUGCACGAAUGGCGUAAUGAUGGCCAGGCUGUCUCCACCCGAGACUCAGUGAAAUUGAACUCGCUGUGAAGAUGCAGUGUACCCGCGGCAAGACGGAAAGACCCCGUGAACCUUUACUAUAGCUUGACACUGAACAUUGAGCCUUGAUGUGUAGGAUAGGUGGGAGGCUUUGAAGUGUGGACGCCAGUCUGCAUGGAGCCGACCUUGAAAUACCACCCUUUAAUGUUUGAUGUUCUAACGUGGACCCGUAAUCCGGGUUGCGGACAGUGUCUGGUGGGUAGUUUGACUGGGGCGGUCUCCUCCUAAAGAGUAACGGAGGAGCACGAAGGUUGGCUAAUCCUGGUCGGACAUCAGGAGGUUAGUGCAAUGGCAUAAGCCAGCUUGACUGCGAGCGUGACGGCGCGAGCAGGUGCGAAAGCAGGUCAUAGUGAUCCGGUGGUUCUGAAUGGAAGGGCCAUCGCUCAACGGAUAAAAGGUACUCCGGGGAUAACAGGCUGAUACCGCCCAAGAGUUCAUAUCGACGGCGGUGUUUGGCACCUCGAUGUCGGCUCAUCACAUCCUGGGGCUGAAGUAGGUCCCAAGGGUAUGGCUGUUCGCCAUUUAAAGUGGUACGCGAGCUGGGUUUAGAACGUCGUGAGACAGUUCGGUCCCUAUCUGCCGUGGGCGCUGGAGAACUGAGGGGGGCUGCUCCUAGUACGAGAGGACCGGAGUGGACGCAUCACUGGUGUUCGGGUUGUCAUGCCAAUGGCACUGCCCGGUAGCUAAAUGCGGAAGAGAUAAGUGCUGAAAGCAUCUAAGCACGAAACUUGCCCCGA
rnacentral:rRNA from 1 species